GGCGCACGGGUGAGUAACGCGUAGGCAACCUGCCGCAGAGUGGGGAAUAACCCCGAGAAAUCGGAGCUAAUACCGCAUAUAGUGUUGAAUCGCAUGAUUCGGCAUAAAAGCCUUCGGGCGCUCUGCGAUGGGCCUGCGUUGGAUUAGCUUGUUGGUAGGGUAACUGCCUACCAAGGCAACGAUCCAUAGCUGGUCUGAGAGGAUGAUCAGCCACACUGGCACUGAGACACGGGCCAGACUUCUACGGAAGGCAGCAGUGAGGAAUAUUGCGCAAUGGGCGAAAGCCUGACGCAGCCACGCCGCGUGCAGGAUGACACCCCUACGGGACGUAAACUGCUUUUGUGCGAGAAGAAUCCCCCGAACGUGUUCGGGGUUGACGGUAUCGCGCGAAUAAGGACCGGCUAACUCCGUGCCAGCAGCCGCGGUAAUACGGAGGGUCCAAGCGUUGUCCGGAUUCAUUGGGUGUAAAGGGUGCGCAGGCGGGCCUGUAAGUCAGAGGUGAAAUCCCGCGGCCUAACCGUGGAACUGCCUUUGAUACUGCAGGUCUUGAGUCCUGGAGAGGUCACCGGAAUUCGUGGUGUAGCGGUGAAAUGCGUAGAUAUCACGAGGAACGCCGGAGGUGUAGACGGGUGACUAGACAGGUACUGACGCUGAGGCACGAAAGCGUGGGGAGCAAACAGGAUUAAUACUGGUAUCCACGCUGUAAACGAUGGAUACUCGGUG
rnacentral:rRNA from 1 species